rnacentral:tRNA from 1 species
GAGGGUAUAGCUCAAGUGGUAGAGUGUGUGCUUAGCAUGCAUGAGGUCCUGGGUUCAAUCCCCAGUACCUCCU